rnacentral:rRNA from 1 species
AUUGAACGCUGGCGGCAUGCCUUACACAUGCAAGUCGAACGGCAGCAUGAUCUAGCUUGCUAGAUUGAUGGCGAGUGGCGAACGGGUGAGUAAUACAUCGGAACGUGCCCUGUAGUGGGGGAUAACUAGUCGAAAGAUUAGCUAAUACCGCAUACGACCUGAGGGUGAAAGUGGGGGACCGCAAGGCCUCAUGCUAUAGGAGCGGCCGAUGUCUGAUUAGCUAGUUGGUGAGGUAAAGGCUCACCAAGGCGACGAUCAGUAGCUGGUCUGAGAGGACGAUCAGCCACACUGGGACCGAGACACGGCCCAGACUCCUACGGGAGGCAGCAGUGGGGAAUUUUGGACAAUGGGCGAAAGCCUGAUCCAGCAAUGCCGCGUGUGUGAAGAAGGCCUUCGGGUUGUAAAGCACUUUUGUCCGGAAAGAAAUGGCUCUGGUUAAUACCUGGGGUCGAUGACGGUACCGGAAGAAUAAGGACCGGCUAACUACGUG